UGGGGGAUAUUGCACAAUGGAGGAAACUCUGAUGCAGCGACGCCGCGUGAGUGAAGAAGUAUUUCGGUAUGUAAAGCUCUAUCAGCAGGGAAGAUGAUGACGGUACCUGACUAAGAAGCCCCGGCUAACUACGUGCCAGCAGCCGCGGUAAUACGUAGGGGGCAAGCGUUAUCCGGAUUUACUGGGUGUAAAGGGAGCGCAGGCGGUUUGGCAAGUUGAGAGUGGAAGCAGGGGGCUCAACCCCCUGACUGCUCCCAAAACUGUUAAACUUGAGUAUGGGAGAGGCAGGCGGAAUUCCUAGUGUAGCGGUGAAAUGCUUAGAUAUUAGGAAGAACACCGGUGGCGAAGGCGGCCUGCUGGACCAAAACUGACGCUGAGGCUCGAAAGCGUGGGUAGCAAACAGGAUUAGAUACCCUGGUAGUCCACGCUGUAAACGAUGAAUACUAGGUGCUGGGAGGCAUAAGUCUUUCGGUGCCGUCGCAAACGCAUUAAGUAUUCCACCUGGGGAGUACGUUCGCAAGAAUG
rnacentral:rRNA from 1 species